AGUUGCUUGUGUCGAGGGAGGGAGGGAGGGAACAGAGGGUGCGCGUGUGAAAGCUCCGCCCCCAGCCCUAGCUCCUCCUUCCCGCUUCAGCAGGUCCAGGCUCUGCGCCAGUGCAUCCUUCUCCAAGAGUGCGCUGCCUGGGCCCGCUUGCCCUGGAGUUAACUUCAGCAGUCAACGGAGAGAAGAGUGGAAACCUUACUGGAUGCGGACAGGAGAGCCAGUUACUGAAAGCAGAUAUAACGCGGAUCCUGUAAAGAGUGAAUUGUAUAUUUCCACAUAUGCUGGACAAUAGGCAGAAAGUGGAGACCCAAAGAACUUGUGAUAUGACGGACAUAAGAAGCUUCAGUUGGCCUCAAAUGUCAAAUAAUAUCCUUCCUGAAUAAUCAAGAAUGUCAAGCUUUUACUUUCUACAUCUUGGACUGUACUUUGUACCAAUCUCAAGUCCCAUAUGAUGCACUUUCUAGGUGAAAAGUUUUUUUUUACAGACCUUAAAUUUUUCUUUAUUUACUUUUUAGAGUGAUGGUAUAUAUUAGUUUCACCACGUUAGUAAUUCAUGCUAUAUAAAUGAUAAGCCAAAGUAAGAAAAAUAGUGAAAUGAAUUGCAAAUCUAACUACAUUUUUUAGUUUCCAUAAUCACCACAGAAAUUGCUGUUAGUGCACUUGAUCCAAGAAGAGUCAUUCACAAUCUCUCCCUUGCAUGUUUCCCACCUGGAUACAGAUUCGUUUAGAGGUCAGCCUCUGACACAAGAUCAGUCAAUCCAAUGCCUGCCAUUAUAGUUUUGGAAAGGUGCCUAAAAAGACAUUAAUUUUCCUCCAAAUGACAGAAACUAAAGGCAGGUGAAUGCGGCAGCUAUUGGUGUACUUGGAUGCUGAGGAUCAGGCAGAGUGGCUUGGUAAUGAGAGAGAUGAAUGAGACAGACACCCAGAGAGAAAGGAAAUUAAGGAGCAGUAAAAGCAUUUUACACCCCUCCCUCCACUCUGCCAACCCUCAGGGCUCAUACACUUUUGCUAACUAUAUCACUUAUGUGCUGUUGUAUACCAAAUUACCUCAAAACUAAGUGGCUUAACACAACAGCAUGUAUUAUCCCACAAUUUCUGUGGGCUGAGAAUCUAGACAGGGAGUAGUUGGAUCCCCUGUGUCAGAGUCUUCCACGAGUUUGCAGUCAAAGUCCUGACUGAGGUUGUGGUUUCAUCUGAAAUUUCAAAUGGGGAAGGAUCCUUUCCCAAGUUCACUCAUAUGGCUGCAGUAGGAUUCAGUUUCCUGCAGACUGUUACACUAAUAGCCUCAGUUUCUCACCACCUGUUGGCCAGAGGCUGCACUCAGUUUCUUGUCACAUAAGCUUCUCAGCUCACAGCAUGGCAUCUGCCUUUGUCAGAGUGAAAAGAGAAAAAGCCACCAAGAAGGAAGUCAUGGUCUAAUCUUGGAGGAGAAUCUUAUGACUUUUGCUGCUCUCUUCUUGUUAGAAGCCACUACAUCCAGCCUCUACUCAUGGGAAGGAAAUGACACAAGGUGUGGGUAUCAGGAGGCAGAAAUCUUUGAGAGCUGUUUUAAAAGCAACCUAACACACUGACAUAUUUCAGUCCUUAGGCACUGUAAAAUAGCCCAAAUAUCCCUGCAGUACAUCUGAAUGCUUGCCUAAAUUCUCCAAAAUUCUUUUCUAUUAUUUACAAUCAAAACUUCUUACAUAUAUCGAAUAGUUUAAUUAAAUCCAAAUUUAGAAUCAAGAGGCAAUUGUAUUAUGAGAAAAUAUAUUACUACAUUUCUAAGUUCCUUUGUCACACAUACACAAACACAACUAACAGAGUAUUUAAUAGUGAUAAAGGCUGAGAUAUGAGAAAACAAAAUACUAGGAAUUCUUACUACUAGGAAAAUAAAUCCUAUGAAGAUGAAAAUUGCUGAAAUUUUCAAGUAGAUAGUG